AUUGAACGCUGGCGGCAUGCUUUACACAUGCAAGUCGAACGGCAGCGCGGGCUUCGGCCUGGCGGCGAGUGGCGAACGGGUGAGUAAUACAUCGGAACGUGCCCAGUAGCGGGGGAUAGCUCGGCGAAAGCCGGAUUAAUACCGCAUACGACCUGAGGGUGAAAGCGGGGGAUCUUCGGACCUCGCGCUAUUGGAGCGGCCGAUGGCAGAUUAGCUAGUUGGUGGGGUAAAGGCCUACCAAGGCGACGAUCUGUAGCUGGUCUGGGAGGACGACCAGCCACACUGGGACUGAGACACGGCCCAGACUCCUACGGGAGGCAGCAGUGGGGAAUUUUGGACAAUGGGCGAAAGCCUGAUCCAGCAAUGCCGCGUGUGUGAUGAAGGCCUUCGGGUUGUAAAGCACUUUUGGCGGGAACGAAAAGGACUGUGCCAAUACCACGGUUCGAUGACGGUACCCGCAGAAUAAGCACCGGCUAACUACGUG
rnacentral:rRNA from 1 species